UACGGAGGAUGCGAGCGUUAUCCGGAUUUAUUGGGUUUAAAGGGAGCGUAGGCGGACUUUUAAGUGAGAUGUGAAAUACUCGGGCUCAACUUGAGUGCUGCAUUUCAAACUGGAAGUCUAGAGUGCAGGAGAGGAGAAUGGAAUUCCUAGUGUAGCGGUGAAAUGCGUAGAGAUUAGGAAGAACACCAGUGGCGAAGGCGAUUCUCUGGACUGUGACUGACGCUGAGGCUCGAAAGCGUGGGGAGCAAACAGG
rnacentral:rRNA from 1 species